ensembl:lncRNA
CGGCACGUCUGGUAGCAUCUCUGGUUGCUGUUGAUCUUGUUUUUGGAGUAAAACACGGUGGAAGCUGAAUUAGUGAGGAUGACUCCUGCUCCUGUCAUCUCUAAGCUCCUCACACAUCUUUACCUGCACAUGAGGAAAAUCACUCCUGUAGAAUGCAGAUGUUCAGAGGGAGAUGAUGCCACAUCUGGUCCAGCUGAUGGAAGGUCUUGAAGUUCUCUGACUGGCCUCGACUGAAGAUGGUCGUCUCACUGGAUUUAAGAUGCACAAUGAGGGACGUCUGCAGUGACUGAGAAAGAGUCUCACCACAUCCUGACAUGAGGAAAAAGACUUUAUUGAAGACUACAAUGAGAAAAACUAUCAGACAGCAGACGGCUGCAUUCAAGUCUGUAGCUGCUGAAUUCAUGGAUGAAUCAUCUGGCACUAGAGAGGAAGACCAUCAAACAUCCACAUCAGCUGAUGGAGGUCCAAGAGUCUCACCAAACAAACAACCUACAGAGUGAAGACCUCGAAUCUGAUUGGACGGCCUUCUAUUCAGACACGUGUGAACAAAUGCCUCUAAGUUGAUUUGUUUUCUAAAAUAAAUCUAGUUUGAG